rnacentral:rRNA from 1 species
GUUGUCCGGAUUUAUUGGGCGUAAAGCGAGCGCAGGCGGUGAUUUAAGUCUGAUGUGAAAGCCCCCAGCUCAACUGGGGAGGGUCAUUGGAAACUGGAUCACUUGAGUGCAGAAGCGGAGAGUGGAAUUCCAUGUGUAGCGGUGAAAUGCGUAGAUAUAUGGAGGAACACCAGUGGCGAAGGCGGCUCUCUGGUCUGUAACUGACGCUGAGGCUCGAAAGCGUGGGUAGCAAACAGGAUUAGAUACCCUGGUAGUCCACGCCGUAAACGAUGAGUGCUAAGUGUUGGAGGGUUUCCGCCCCUCAGUGCUGCAGUUAACGCAUUAAGCACUCCGCCUGGGGAGUACGACCGCAAGGUUGAAACUCAAAGGAAUUGACGGGGGCCCGCACAAGCGGUGGAGCAUGUGGUUUAAUUCGAAGCAACGCGAAGAACCUUACCAGGUCUUGACAUCCUUUGACCGCCCUAGAGAUAGGGUUUCCCCUUCGGGGGCAAAGUGACAGGUGGUGCAUGGUUGUCGUCAGCCCGUGUCGUGAGAUGUUGGGUUAAGUCCCGUAACGAGCGCAACCCUUAUUGUUAGUUGCCAGCAUUGAGUUGGGCACUCUAGCAAGACUGCCGGUGACAAACCGGAGGAAGGCGGGGAUGACGUCAAAUCAUCAUGCCCCUUAUGACCUGGGCUACACACGUGCUACAAUGGGAAGUACAACGAGCAAGCCAAGCCGCAAGGCCUAGCGAAUCUCUGAAAGCUUCUCUCAGUUCGGAUUGCAGGCUGCAACUCGCCUGCAUGAAGCCGGAAUCGCUAGUAAUCGCGGAUCAGCAUGCCGCGGUGAACCCGUUCCCGGGCCUUGUACACACCGCCCGUCACACCACGAGAGUUUGUAACACCCAAAGUCGGUGCGGCAACCCUUCGGGGAGCCAGCCGCCUAAGGUGGGACGAAUGAUUGGGGUGAA